rnacentral:rRNA from 1 species
AUUGAACGCUGGCGGCAUGCCUUACACAUGCAAGUCGAACGGCAGCACGGGAGCUUGCUCCUGGUGGCGAGUGGCGAACGGGUGAGUAAUACAUCGGAACGUGCCCUGAAGUGGGGGAUAACGUAGCGAAAGUUACGCUAAUACCGCAUAUUCUGUGAGCAGGAAAGCAGGGGAUCUUAGGACCUUGUGCUUUAGGAGCGGCCGAUGUCGGAUUAGCUAGUUGGUGGGGUAAAGGCCUACCAAGGCGACGAUCCGUAGCGGGUCUGAGAGGAUGAUCCGCCACACUGGAACUGAGACACGGUCCAGACUCCUACGGGAGGCAGCAGUGGGGGAAUUUUGGACAAUGGGCGCAAGCCUGAUCCAGCCAUGCCGCGUGAGUGAAGAAGGCCUGGUGUAAGCUCUUCGGCGGGAGAAUUAGCGUGGGUUAAGUACCUGCGUAGAUGACGGUACCCGC